rnacentral:misc_RNA from 1 species
GAUGAAGAACGUAGUGAAAUGCGAUAAGUAAUGUGAAUUGCAGAAUUCAGUGAAUCAUCGAAUCUUUGAACGCACAUUGCGCCCCUUGUUAUUCCGAGGGGCAUGCCUGUUCGAGCGUCAUUAUAACCCCUCAAGCUCAGCUUGGUGUUGGGGCCUGCCGCACGGGCAGCCCUUAAAAUCAGUGGCGGUGCCAUCUGGCUCUAAGCGUAGUAAUUCUUCUCGCUAUAGAGUCCCGGUGGAUGCUUGCCAUUAACCCCCAAUUUUCUAUGGUUGACCUCGGAUCAGGUAGGGAUACCCGCUGAACUUAAGCAUAUCAAUAAGCGGAGGA